rnacentral:rRNA from 1 species
UACGGAGGGGGCAAGCGUUAUUCGGAAUUAUUGGGCGUAAAGGGCGCGUAGGCGGCUAGAUGUGUCAAAGGUGAAAUCCCUCGGCUCAACUGAGGAACUGCCUUUGAAACUGUCUGGCUUGAGGCCGGGAGAGGGUAGCGGAAUUCCCAGUGUAGCGGUGAAAUGCGUAGAUAUUGGGAGGAACACCAGUGGCGAAGGCGGCUACCUGGACCGGUUCUGACGCUGAGGUGCGAAAGCGUGGGGAGCGAACAGG